UACAGAGGUCUCAAGCGUUGUUCGGAUUCAUUGGGCGUAAAGGGUGCGUAGGCGGCGCGGUAAGUCGGGUGUGAAAUCUCGGAGCUUAACUCCGAAACUGCAUUCGAUACUGCUGUGCUUGAGGACUGGAGAGGAGACUGGAAUUUACGGUGUAGCGGUGAAAUGCGUAGAUAUCUGGAGGAACACCGGUGGCGAAGGCGGCAUCCUGGACCGGUAUUGACGCUGAUGCGCGAAAGCCAGGGGAGCAAACGGG
rnacentral:rRNA from 1 species